UACGUAGGUGGCAAGCGUUGUCCGGAUUUACUGGGCGUAAAGAGCGCGCAGGCGGUCGUUCAAGUCGCGUGUGAAAGCCCCCGGCUCAACUGGGGAGGGUCACGCGAUACUGAUCGACUCGAAGGCAGGAGAGGGUAGUGGAAUUCCCGGUGUAGUGGUGAAAUGCGUAGAUAUCGGGAGGAACACCGGUGGCGAAGGCGGGUCUCUGGGCCGAUGAUCGACGCUGAGG
rnacentral:rRNA from 1 species